rnacentral:rRNA from 1 species
UACGAGGGGGGGGAGCGUUGUUCGGAAUUAUUGGGCGUAAAGGGUGCGUAGGCGGUUUGGUAAGUCUUAUGUGAAAUCUAUGGGCUCAACUCAUAGUCUGCAUGAGAAACUGCCGGGCUUGAGUAUGGGAGAGGUGAGUGGAAUUCCUGGUGUAGCGGUGAAAUGCGUAGAUAUCAGGAGGAACACCUGUGGCGAAAGCGGCUCACUGGACCAUAACUGACGCUGAUGCACGAAAGCUAGGGGAGCAAACAGG